AGGAGGGAGAGGAGGAGAAUGACCCUGACUAUGACCCCAAGAAGGACGCAAAUCCCCAGCCAGUGCAAGCAGCAGUGAAGGCUGUGGCUUUGAGGAUCAACUGCACUGUAACAGCUUCUCAAAUAAAACACUUACUUACGCCUUAUAA